UAGAGGCCUAGCUGAGGAGGAUGCGCUGCCUCCGAGGCGCAGGGAAGCCUGGGGUGGGGUCAUAGGGGUCCCUCUGACCACAGUCCUGGUCAUCUUGCGGGGAAGGGACAGGCCUGCCAGAGGAGCAGGGACGGGGUCUGCAGCCUGGCAGGGUGUGGAGCGAGACCUGCGAGGCCAGGUGCCGGGUGGCGAGCGGGGCCUGGUGGAGGAGUAUGUGGAGAAGGUCCCUAACCCCAGCCUGAAGACCUUCAAGCCCAUCGACCUGAGUGACCUGAAGCGCCGGAGCACGCAGGAUGCCAAGAAGUCCUAGAGCGCCCGGCACCCCUCCCCGGCCUCCGGAAGAUCAGGGUGCGAGGUGUUGGUUCCCUCCUGUCCUGUGGCCCUGCCCCUGGGAUGGGGGUGCCUUGCUCCAGCGGGCUGCAGACCCCAGCACUGGCGUGACUGACGGCUGAGGCCUGCCUCUCCUUCCCAAGCCCCCUUCCUUCAUCCUUGGGGGUCUCAGGCUGCCCCCAUCAUGGGGGUCUGGGCCCUGCCCACCCUCCUGCCCUCCCCCAGCCACCUGGCUGCAUUUUUGAAGCUGCCUGGCCCCCAGGGGCCCUGACCUGACCUCUCUCCUCUCCCCUCACCCUCCUGCCCCUGGCCACUGCAGGAUCAGGAGGGGAGAAGAAGGAGCCUCUGCUGCCUCCCAGGCUGCUGGGACUGGGCUGGUUUUGUCCUUGAAGUGGUCAGGAUACAGGACAAGGGCAGCCCCA
rnacentral:sRNA from 1 species